GUUUCAGAGUUUACCAGUGAAGGGGAUGAAAGAAUGGAGAUGCUGGUUAACUCUUGCAUAAGGGUUUUGGACAGUAUAGGGACGAGCAUGAGUAGAAAGUCGUGUGCAACAAGGCCGCAGGUGUGUGCAAGCAUGUCAUUCCCCUAGUUCUUACCCCGACCGCUGCGACUGGCACGGAUUUGGCCUUCACUGAUAGUCUGGUAACAAAUACGCCCAGGUCUUUCUCUGCCUCUGUGGUGGAUGGUGGAGUUUUUCCCAUGUGGUAUUGGUGUGCUGGAUAUCCCUUCACUGGUAGCCUGGUAACAUACACUCCCAGGUCUUUCUCUGCCUCUGUGGUGGAUGGUGGAGUUUUUCCCAUGUGGUAUUGGUGUGCUGGAUAUCCCUUCACUGGUAGCCUGGUAACAUACAGCCCCAUCUCUUUCUCUGCCUCUGUGGUGGAUAGUGGAGUGUUUCCCAUGUGGUAUUGGUGAGCUGGAUAUCCCUUCACUGGUAGCCUGGUAACAUACACUCCCAGGUCUUUCUCUGCCUCUGUGGUGGAUAGUGGAGUGUUUCCCAUGUGGUAUUGGUGUGCUGGAUAUCCCUUCACUGGUAGCCUGGUAACAUACACUCCCAGGUCUUUCUCUGCCUCUGUGGUGGAUAGUGGAAUGUUUCCCAUGUGGUAUUGGUGUGCUGGAUAUCCCUUCACUGGUAGCCUGGUAACAUACACUCCCAGGUCUUUCUCUGCCUCUGUGGUGGAUAGUGGAGUGUUUCCCAUGUGGUAUUGGUGUGCUGGAUAUCCCUUCACUGGUAGCCUGGUAACAUACACUCCCAGGUCUUCCUCUGCCUCUGUGGUGGAUAGUGGAGUGUUUCCCAUGUGGUAUUGGUGUGCUGGAUAUCCCUUCACUGGUAGCCUGGUAACAUACACUCCCAGGUCUUUCUCUGCCUCUGUGGUGGAUAGUGGAGUGUUUCCCAUGUGGUAUUGGUGUGCUGGAUAUCCCUUCACUGGUAGCCUGGUAA